ACAUAGCCCCGAUUGUAGUGGAAAUCCUUUUUUUUGAAAAAAUUGUUCUUCGAGAGCCUCAGAAUGACAAUUUUUUCAAAAAAAAGAUUGCAACGGAAAGCGGGUUGAACA
rnacentral:sRNA from 1 species